rnacentral:rRNA from 1 species
AUUGAACGCUGGCGGCAUGCUUUACACAUGCAAGUCGAACGGUAACAGGCCUUCGGGUGCUGACGAGUGGCGAACGGGUGAGUAAUGCAUCGGAACGUACCCAGAGGUGGGGGAUAACGCAGCGAAAGCUGUGCUAAUACCGCGUGUGAUCUGAGGAUGAAAGCGGGGGACCGAGCAGCAAUGUUUGGCCUCGCGCCUUUGGAGCGGCCGAUGUCGGAUUAGCUAGUUGGUGGGGUAAAGGCCUACCAAGGCGACGACCCGUAGCUGGUCUGAGAGGACGACCAGCCACACUGGGACUGAGACACGGCCCAGACUCCUACGGGAGGCAGCAGUGGGGAAUUUUGGACAAUGGGCGCAAGCCUGAUCCAGCAAUGCCGCGUGCGGGAAGAAGGCCUUCGGGUUGUAAACCGCUUUUGGCAGGAACGAAACGGUGUCCGCUAAUACCGGGCGCUAAUGACGGUACCUGCAGAAUAAGCACCGGCUAACUACGUG